rnacentral:lncRNA from 1 species
AGGCGGGGAGGUUAAAGACAAACUCGAAUUCACCAAUCACCAAAAGAAGCUUUGAAAUCGCCUUUGUGUUUGUCGAGAUAGAAAGAGAUCCAUAGAAAAGUAUUAGAACAAGAAGGAGAAAGGAACAAACGUUAUGACAGAAAUUGGAUGGAGACCGUUGGUGUUUACCUUUGUAUGUAGGAGAAGACAAAGGGGUUCCA